AACACGUGGGCAACCUGCCCUUGAGACGGGGAUAACUCCGGGAAACCGGAGCUAAUACCGGAUAACACAUAUCUUCGCAUGAGGAUAUGUUAGAAGGUGGCUUUUAGCUACCACUCAAGGAUGGGCCCGCGGCGCAUUAGCUAGUUGGUGAGGUAACGGCUCACCAAGGCGACGAUGCGUAGCCGACCUGAGAGGGUGAUCGGCCACACUGGGACUGAGACACGGCCCAGACUCCUACGGGAGGCAGCAGUAGGGAAUCUUCCGCAAUGGACGAAAGUCUGACGGAGCAACGCCGCGUGAGUGAUGAAGGUUUUCGGAUCGUAAAGCUCUGUUGUUAGGGAAGAACAAGUACCUGUUGAAUAAGCAGGUACCUUGACGGUACCUAACCAGAAAGCCACGGCUAACUACGUGCCAGCAGCCGCGGUAAUACGUAGGUGGCAAGCGUUGUCCGGAAUUAUUGGGCGUAAAGCGCGCGCAGGCGGUUCCUUAAGUCUGAUGUGAAAGCCCACGGCUCAACCGUGGAGGGUCAUUGGAAACUGGGGAACUUGAGUGCAGAAGAGGAGAGCGGAAUUCCACGUGUAGCGGUGAAAUGCGUAGAGAUGUGGAGGAACACCAGUGGCGAAGGCGGCUCUCUGGUCUGUAACUGACGCUGAGGCGCGAAAGCGUGGGGAGCGAACAGGAUUAGAUACCCUGGUAGUCCACGCCGUAAACGAUGAGUGCUAA
rnacentral:rRNA from 2 species